rnacentral:lncRNA from 1 species
AAUUGGUGUCUAGGAAAGCAUGAAAGAUGGUUACUUAAUUAGGACCUUACUCUCUGAGUAAGGGAAGCCUCCCACCUGCUUACCUGGCCAAUUGUUCGAUUAUCUUUUAUGAAGAGCUCAAGUUGCAAACACUAAGACCUGAUUAACCAAUAUUAAGUCAAUAGGUCUUCCACUGUAGUAGAGCUGCUAAGGUCUUUCUGAUGUUGAUUUGUCUCGGCUGGAUACAGUGGGCAAGUUGCAUCGGGGGACUGGACCUCUCUAUAGACAUGAGAUGUUGUAGGGUAAAGGUGGGGUUGGGCACCAAUAACUGUUAGGUGAGGACCCAAUGACGACUUUAUUUCUACGGUUAUACGGUGGGUCUGACUUAACUAAGAAAUAGGACCAAUAACUGUUAGGUGAGGUCUUCAUGACUUAGAGACCAAGUAGCACUGCAACAUGCUUAAGAAACAUUGUACAAGAGUUGUACACUCAUCUGUUUAUGUGUCCCCAAUAACUGUUAGGUGAGGUGGCAUGUAAAUCGGUGGGACCGC